GUGAUACAGGAUGCGUACUGAGGGUGGAAGAGGGGGAAGGGAUAGGUGCUGUCGCUGUAAGAUGAGCCUGCGUAGGAUUAGCUAGUUGGUAGGGUAAAGGCCUACGAAGGCGACGAUCGGUAGCUGGUCUGAGAGGAGAUCAGCCACACUGGGACUGAGACACGGUCCAGACUCCUACGGGAGGCAGCAGUGGGGAAUGAUUGGACGAUGGGGGCAAGCCCUGAUGCCAAGCGCAUGCCGCGUUGGUAGUGCAUAGACAGCGUCGCUGAUGGCGUGUGCUGAGACGUCUACAUGUUUAGUGCUUGAGUGGGAAGGGUAGUAGUAGAUACGUCCGGCGUUAUAUGAAUGAACGGCAGUGCAUGCGAUUCGUAUUGAACGGUUACCCCUGAUGCUAGUAAGUAAGGGCAAUCC
rnacentral:rRNA from 1 species